rnacentral:rRNA from 1 species
UAACAAGGAUUCCCCUAGUAACUGCGAGUGAAGCGGGAAAAGCUCAAAUUUAAAAUCUGGCAGUUUCACUGUCCGAGUUGUAAUCUGGAGAAGCAUUUUCUGUGUCAGACCGUGUACAAGUCUCUUGGAAUAGAGCGUCAUAGAGGGUGAGAAUCCCGUCCAUGACACGGACCGCUGAUACUUUGUGAUAUGCUCUCGAAGAGUCGAGUUGUUUGGGAAUGCAGCUCAAAAUGGGUGGUAAAUUCCAUCUAAAGCUAAAUAUUGGCGAGAGACCGAUAGCGAACAAGUACCGUGAGGGAAAGAUGAAAAGCACUUUGGAAAGAGAGUUAAACAGUACGUGAAAUUGUUGAAAGGGAAACGCUUGAAGUCAGUCGCGUUGCUUGGGACUCAGCCUUGCUUUGCAUGGUGUACUUCCCAUUCAACGGGUCAACGUCAAUUUUGGUUGGUGGAUAAAGACUUAGGGAAUGUGGCAUCUUCGGGUGUGUUAUAGCCCUUUGUUGCAUACACUGACUGGGAUUGAGGACUGCAGCACGCCACUAUGGCCGGGGGUUUACCUCACGUAACGUGCUUAGGAUGUUGGCAUAAUGGCUUUAAGCGACCCGUCUUGAAACACGGACCAAGGAGUCUAACAUGCUUGCGAGUGUUAGGGUGGAAAACCCUUGCGCGUAAUGAAAGUGAAAGUUGGGACCUCUUCUGAGGGCACCGACGCCCGGCCCUGAAGUUUACUGACGGUGCUGCGGUAGAGCACGUAUGUUGGGACCCGAAAGAUGGUGAACUAUGCCUGAAUAGGGUGAAGCCAGGGGAAACUCUGGUGGAGGCUCGUAGCGAUUCUGACGUGCAAAUCGAUCGUCAAAUUUGGG